rnacentral:lncRNA from 1 species
CAACACAGUCUCUCUACUGCUCUCCGUAGUUAUUCUUCGGCUUUAUCUUCGAUGCUUUCUUGAUCUUCGCAGUCGUCUGCCCGUCCAAACGUCAAAAAGAAAAAAAAAAUCCGCACACGAAGCAGAUAAAAAAAAGUACUCAGAGUCAGCAGUUAGGAAGCGCUUCGUUACUCGCGCGAGUGUUCUCGAGCGUGCGGAAUGGGGGCAGCGGGGAGCGCACCUUACACCGGAGCACUGCGUGCACUCGCCCGAUGAUACGGCGCGUGAAGCGUCGUGUCGGCCUGUUCGAUCCACGCACUCCACGCGCCUCGUGUGCGUGUGCGAUGAUCCUUCUGGGCCUGUGUUCUGGCCGAGACUAACUCGAGCGCUCGGUGCCUGCAGCCCUCGCAGUCAUCCCUCCGGCCACGCACUUUUCCACCCCGGCGAAAGAAUUGACCGCAUCGACCUCGCAACGCGCCGGCCACUUUUCGCCGACAGACCGGUGUUCUUCGUCGAAAAUUGUCGUCAGGAUUUCGGGGACAGUUGGCGUGUAUAUACGAGUGUCGUAGACGUGUUCCGCAAAAGGACGAAGGGUGGAAGAUACGGAGCUCGUGGACGCAUCAAGGUUGGACAAGACUUAAUCGACUCGGGAGCGAGAGACCGCUUCGGCGCGGGCCGUACGGUGGCGCCGCGUAACGCGACGUGACGAAAACCAGCCUGCUGGAACGUGAGGGUGGCUACCCCCACCAGUGUUGGCCACCCCUUCCAUCCACGACCACGAGGACACGGACCGCACAACGCAGAGGGACGGUUCACUAUAUCAGGUGUUUAGCCGAUAAUAGUGAAGUGUCUGCCUGUCCUAUCUACCUGCUGCUGCUGCUACUCGUCGUUUCGGUGCAUGAGUCGCACGAGCCGAACCAUCGAUAAUUAAUAUCUUCAGCUCGUUUCAACCGGAUUGCAGGCAUCUUAUCAUUCCAUUUUCGUUGCGUCACGGAGGAGAGAAGGCAACGCGCAAUAAUGGAAAAAUUUUCCGAACGAAAAGCUCCUAAUUAAACACAAGUAAGGCUGACCGAAACUUUCUUGCCGGCAUCUAACAAGAAAUACGAUCCGAUGUCAAGGGACUAACUUCGUCAAGUGAAAGUGAGAACUCGGCAAGAAGAACGAGUUCACACAAGGACAUAUAAAAUUCGUCUGGCGUUUCUGGGGGAUCUCCUUGGUGGGGUCAAUAAGUUUGAGAGACAAUAAGUUAUAAAUAUUGAAAUCUGCCUACAGUUCUCCCGCCCUUUCCUUCUAUUUCUGCCCGCCCUAUCCUAACAAAAACCUUUCGUCCGGGUCACGAACCAGCUCCGAUCGGUUAUGUUAGAGGAUGUCGCCCACGACACGUUGACUCGUGUUUCUAUUAUGUAGGCAUCGUUAGCAGUAUUCGUGUACUAAAUCGAACAUGGAACACGCACGUGAGUGUGCGGGGGAUGCAUUGUCAUGCAUCGACACAGCCGAUUCUUCAAAAUUGGUUUGGCAAGGAUUUCCGGCCCUUCUUAAAGCAUUAAUUUAAAAAAUUGACUAAAGUAUCUCAAGUAAAAAGUAAAUAAAAUUUGUAAAAUGCAUUAAAAAGUAAUAAUUAAAGUGUAUUGCUACGUUAUUUGUUUAUGACACAAAUUAGGAGUUAAUGCGGCGACAUAAUAUAUUGAUCAUCUUAAUAAAGAAAAAUAAAUGUA